rnacentral:rRNA from 1 species
UGCCAGACUCCUACGGGAGGCAGCAGUGGGGAAUAUUGGGCAAUGGGCGCAAGCCUGACCCAGCAACGCCGCGUGAAGGAAGAAGGCUUUCGGGUUGUAAACUUCUUUUAAGAGGGAAGAGAAGAAGACGGUACCUCUUGAAUAAGCCACGGCUAACUACGUGCCAGCAGCCGCGGUAAUACGUAGGUGGCAAGCGUUGUCCGGAUUUACCGGGUGUAAAGGGCGUGCAGCCGGGCUGACAAGUCAGAUGUGAAGUCCCGCGGCUCAACCGCGGAACUGCAUUUGAAACUGUUGGUCUUGAGUAUCGGAGAGGCAGGCGGAAUUCCUAGUGUAGCGGUGAAAUGCGUAGAUAUUAGGAGGAACACCAGUGGCGAAGGCGGCCUGCUGGACGACAACUGACGGUGAGGCGCGAAAGCGUGGGGAGCAAACAGGAUUAGAUACCCUCGUAAG